rnacentral:rRNA from 1 species
AAAUUGAAGAGUUUGAUCAUGGCUCAGAUUGAACGCUGGCGGCAGGCCUAACACAUGCAAGUCGAGCGGAAACGAGUUAUCAGAACCUUCGGGGGACGAUAACGGCGUCGAGCGGCGGACGGGUGAGUAAUGCCUAGGAAAUUGCCCUGAUGUGGGGGAUAACCAUUGGAAACGAUGGCUAAUACCGCAUGAUGCCUACGGGCCAAAGAGGGGGACCUUCGGGCCUCUCGCGUCAGGAUAUGCCUAGGUGGGAUUAGCUAGUUGGUGAGGUAAAGGCUCACCAAGGCGACGAUCCCUAGCUGGUCUGAGAGGAUGAUCAGCCACACUGGAACUGAGACACGGUCCAGACUCCUACGGGAGGCAGCAGUGGGGAAUAUUGCACAAUGGGCGCAAGCCUGAUGCAGCCAUGCCGCGUGUAUGAAGAAGGCCUUCGGGUUGUAAAGUACUUUCAGCAGUGAGGAAGGUGGUAGUGUUAAUAGCACUAUCAUUUGACGUUAGCU